GUGAAUCAUCAAAUUUUUGAACGCAAAGGGAGAGGGCGGGAAGAAAGGGAAGUAUGCCUGUUUGAGGGUCAGUAUUAACAAAAAAUCGGUUUGGUUGCAAAUUGUGAAGGGGCCGGAGUUUGGGCUAUCUGAACGGGUUUGGUUAAGGGGCUUAAAAUUGACCUUAUUUGCGCAUUUUUAGACGUACAUAAAUUUUUUUUUUAUUCGUCUAGGAUGAAUGACAAAAUCUUAGGAGAUGCGAGAAAAGCGUGUGGUGUCGUGUGGAGAAAAUUGUCA
rnacentral:misc_RNA from 1 species